rnacentral:sRNA from 1 species
AUUUAAAAUGUAAAAAAUUAUGUGUUCAUUUCUACUGGAUUACUUUAGGAUUGAAAUAAACUAGUUCAUCAGACUUAGAACGUGGUCACCUUUGAUUGCCAUACUCCUUCAAGCAGUUUGAUAGAUACCAAGAAAGAAUUGAUGGUGCUGUUAAAUAUAUCUAGUAUAUCUCUUCUCCCAGCAAAGUUCCUGCAUUCGUGAGGAUGAUUGCUCCCGAGGGCUCCUUGGUGUUUCAUGAGAAAGCCUGGAAUGCGUACCCCUACUGUAGAACAAUUGUAACGAAUGAAUAUAUGAAAGAUGAUUUCUUCAUUAAAAUCGAAACAUGGCACAAACCAGACUUGGGAACAUUAGAAAAUGUACAUGGUUUAGAUCCAAACACAUGGAAAACUGUUGAAAUUGUCCAUAUAGAUAUUGCAGAUAGAAGUCAAGUUGAACCAGCAGACUACAAAGCUGAUGAAGACCCAGCAUUAUUCCAGUCAGUCAAGACCAAGAGAGGCCCUUUGGGACCCAACUGGAAGAAGGAGCUGGCAAACAGCCCUGACUGUCCCCAGAUGUGUGCCUAUAAGCUGGUGACCAUCAAAUUCAAGUGGUGGGGACUGCAAAGCAAAGUAGAAAACUUCAUUCAAAAGCAAGAAAAACGGAUAUUUACAAACUUCCAUCGCCAGCUUUUUUGUUGGAUUGACAAGUGGAUCGAUCUCACGAUGGAAGACAUUAGGAGAAUGGAAGAUGAGACUCAGAAAGAACUAGAAACAAUGCGUAAGAGGGGUUCCGUUCGAGGCACGUCGG